CACGCCUCCUGUCACAGGCAACAGCAUCUGAAGGAUGCACGCAGGUUUCCCAGUCUCUUUUCUCCCCUGGAGAAGAGCCCAAGAGGAGGGAAUGAUGCUGCAGCCGCCACCAGCCCACAGGGAAAGCGUCCUGCAGAGAAACAGCACAUCUCGGCAUCCCUGGGGCCCACUGAGCACUGCAGGAUCGGCGGUUAGGAGGACACCUGUGUGUCAACGCCUUCCUUCAUUGCUUGUUCAAGACAUUUGGCUUCUUGCUGAGUGCUCCUGGCCCAGGGGUAAGGAUGCCAGCAGUGAUGGAAACUGAGCCAGCAGGUCUCACUGCCCACACUGACAGCAGCACCAUAAUAGGCUGAUACUAACAGGGACCAGCGAC
ensembl:lncRNA